UACGUAGGGUGCGAGCGUUGUCCGGAAUUAUUGGGCGUAAAGAGCUCGUAGGCGGUUUGUCGCGUCGACUGGUGAAAACCUACAGCUUAACUGUGGGCUUGCAGUCGAUACGGGCAGACUUGAGUUCGGUAGGGGAGACUGGAAUUCCUGGUGUAGCGGUGAAAUGCGCAGAUAUCAGGAGGAACACCGGUGGCGAAGGCGGGUCUCUGGGCCGAUACUGACGCUGAGGAGCGAAAGCGUGGGGAGCGAACAGG
rnacentral:rRNA from 1 species